rnacentral:rRNA from 1 species
AGCGAACGCUGGCGGCAGGCUUAACACAUGCAAGUCGAACGGGCAUCUUCGGAUGUCAGUGGCAGACGGGUGAGUAACACGUGGGAACGUACCCUUCGGUUCGGAAUAACUCAGGGAAACUUGAGCUAAUACCGGAUACGCCCUUUUGGGGAAAGGUUUACUGCCGAAGGAUCGGCCCGCGUCUGAUUAGCUUGUUGGUGGGGUAACGGCCUACCAAGGCGACGAUCAGUAGCUGGUCUGAGAGGAUGAUCAGCCACACUGGGACUGAGACACGGCCCAGACUCCUACGGGAGGCAGCAGUGGGGAAUAUAGGACAAUGGGCGCAAGCCUGAUCCAGCUAUGCCGCGUGAGUGAUGAAGGCCUUAGGGUUGUAAAGCUCUUUUGUCCGGGACGAUAAUGACGGUACCGGAAGAAUAAGCCCCGGCUAACUUCGUG